GGUGGGGAAUAUGUGGCGGUUAGAAAACAAGGGUGGGAUGGGUGGGUAUUUUUUUUUGUUUAUAUAUACGCAGCAAGCAAUGAUGAUCAGAUCAAGGGUGGGAUGGAUGGGUACAUGGAGCAAGCAAUUUGAUGAUUAGAACAAAGAUAAUAACUAGAACAAUGUGGAAAAGAAAAAUUCAGCAACUAGACAAAUAUUAAAGGAUUAAAACUCGAUAAAGCAAACUACAAAAUCAGUAGCACAUAUGAAUUUGGGCUGUAGGUUUUCUUUUUGGCUCUCAGUGGACAGUAGGUAUUUAAACUCUAUCCUACCAAAAUCAAGAACAAUCCUACCGAGGAAACGAAGGCUUUGAUACCAGAUGAUAUGCUCACGCCUAGGGAUAGCGUGAGACAAGUCGUUGUGGCCCGAUCUUCUCGUAGGAUUCGCGAACUUGAUAACUUGUCGCUGCGUGACCUGGUGAAGAGGCAGUGCACCGCGAGGCUGUCCACGCGACGAACUACCGAGACAAUCACCCUUCCACGUACCGACGAACAGCCCACGCAGUCACGCCGUAUAGACGUGAAGGCACAAGCUGUAACAUCCCUGAUGUUACGGUUACUAAAAAUGGAUCAUGUCAUCAUGAGCAUUGCAAAUCAUAUUUGUUAAAGCACAUUAGCAUGCA
rnacentral:lncRNA from 1 species